rnacentral:rRNA from 1 species
ACUAUGGAAUAUUGGUCACAUGGGGGCACCUGCUGAACCAGCCACGCCGCGUGCAGGAAGACUGCCUUAUGGGUUGUAAAAUGUUUUUAUCUGGGAAUAAACCCCGAUACGUGUAUUGUGGUGAAUGUACCGGAAGAGUAAGGAUCUGCUAAAUCUGUGCCAGCACCGGCGGUAAUAUGGAGGAUCCCCGAGUUUUCUCGAUUUAUUUUGUUUAAAAGGUGUGUAGGCGGCCUUUUAAGUCAGGGGAAAAAGACGCCUAUCUCAACUAUCGCAGUGCCCUUGAUACUGAUUUAAUUGAAUAUGAGUGAGAAGUAGAGGAAUGAUACAAGGGUACGGUGAAAUGCAUAUAUAGAGUGAAAGAACAUCGCUUGGGAGGGCACCUUUUUAUGGUUUAAUAUUGACGCUGAGGCAAGAAAGCGUGGGGAUCAAACACGAUUAGAUACCCCGGUAGAGCACGCCCUAAACGAUGAACACUCGCUGUGGCGAUACACAGUCAGUGGCUAAGCGAAAG